GACGGAGGGAGAGACCUUGGCGGCGGGAUAUGUGACGUCAUCGGCCAGCUGUUCUUGUUGUUGUGGGAAUGGUUGUUGGAACGCUCUGCCUCCGUUCUAAAAAUAGACAUCGAAUUUACGGUCGCUAUAAAGAGGUUCAGAGACACCACCUGUGUGAAGGCUGCUGAUGUAUGUGGUGGGACAUCAAAACUGGCCAAGGCUCAUGAAGGUGUUAUGAGUUGCAUUUGAAGACGACGGAUUCAAGGGAAUAGUCAGUGUCAAUAGUGAGUCAAUUCAUUAUCAUACAGAUUUACAAUGAGAGACUGAUUGUCACCGUUGCUAUUUUGUGGCCGUAUUUUUUGGUGAAUGUUACAAGACUGAAUUUUUGAGAUUAUAUAUAUGGCGAUCAGUGGUGUCUGAUAUAAUUGUCGAUUGAAGAUGGUCUAUAUAUCACUAUAUAUCAUGCUCGGAAGAUAACGCCUGCAUUUCGAUGUUAUAACCUCGCCUUGAAUUUAUUUGUGUGCAUUUUGUAUUUUGAAAAGAGAAAAAGUAAAAAAAUCAGUGAACGAUCCUGUGUGGGAAAAAUCUGGUUUAAAACUACAGCGUGUCCAAAAUCCGAUUACACUAUCGCGUGUCCUUUUGAAUAAGUGAUUGAUAGUGAUGGAAGAUUACUGCAGAGUGUGGGUAGUGCACCGAUAGUGAAGCAACACCAGCGAAGGAUAGUGGAAUAGGAUAGUUUGUGACAUAUUCACUGAAUUGAGUUUUUGGGGGGACCCUGUAUCGUCAGACAGAAGACGUCGAAUGGCUGUGAUGGGUCGCCACGCAGAGGAUUCUUCUGUUCUUUAAGAUUUGGUUGCCUUGGAGUGGCUGUCUUAAUGAGGGACGUCGAAAAGAUUUCCAUCCUUCCAACACUUUAGAAGACUAGUCAACGUCUUGCAGAGCGGCCAAGAGUCCUCUGAAUUUGAAGAUUAAAACCUCCUCCAACCCCUUGUCAACUGAAUCACACACCUGAAAACAAAAGAAACCAAGAUCAUUCAUUAAAAAAAAUAAUAAUAAAGUGUUUUCACGCUAGCAGCCGUAAAGCCAAGUCGUCAGAAGAGGGGAAAAAUAAAGCUGCUUUAUGUCGUACAUGUGACUCUUAAAGCAACAACAUUCUUAGCCCCCCUUAAACACCAAUACCGCCUUUGCCACUUUCUGUGAUAUUCUGUGUCCUUGUGAAUGAAAUAGAGAAGAAGAAGAAGAAGAAGAUAAAAAGAAGCCUUUUUUCUUAAUAUAUAAAAAUAAUAUAUUCCUCUUCCCCCUCCCAUUUGCUGUUACUCGGUGACUUAUUCCUUCGGCAUAUAGUGUGGUCAUUUACUUGAGAAAAACAUUAAACUAAAAAAAAAAAAACUACAAAUUGAAGAGUAACGCUUUACCUACCAAAUUAAGCUAUGAUUAAAGACCCCACACUUCACAGCUGCCUUAUAGAUAUUUGAAAAGUGACAACAAUUAUUAUUCCUAAUAAUAAUACCUAGUAAUUAGCUAGCUUCCAAUUGCUAAUCCGGAAAGACAUCUCCCAGUCAAAUCCACUUUAUAGUAAACCUCAAUCUUUUACAUACAUACACACAUCUAUAAACACGCAAGGAAGAUAUCACCAGCGCGCAGAAGACGUCGCUAUCUUGCUAUUGCGCAAUCCUAGCAACCCAGAACAAUUACUCUCCAGUAAGCCUGCGCAAAUCGCCAAAAUGGGUCGCAAGAAGAUUCAGAUUUCGCGCAUCACAGACGAACGCAAUCGCCAGGUAACUUUCACAAAGCGCAAGUUCGGUCUUAUGAAAAAGGCCUACGAGCUCUCGGUUUUGUGCGAUUGCGAGAUUGCGCUUAUCAUCUUUAACUCUAGCAACAAACUCUUUCAAUAUGCCUCCACUGAUAUGGACAAGGUGUUGCUCAAAUACACCGAAUACAAUGAACCACAUGAGUCCAGGACUAAUAACGAUAUAGUAGAGGCUCUGAACAAGAAAGAACACAAGAAUGGCUUGCAGUCUCCAGAUUCCCCCGACCCAGAUCAGGAAUACUCUCUCACUCCCCGGACAGAAGCCAAAUACAACAAAAUUGAUGAGGAAUUCACGUUGAUGAUGCAACGCAAUCAGAUCAACGGAAGUCGGCAACCAGUAAACCUUAAUAACUACAAUAGUAUGGCAGUCACAGUGCCUGUCAACAAUACGGGUUAUGACCCAGGACUGAUGCAGCCCUCACCUCAGAUGUCACACGCAUCUCUGUCGCCACGUCCUGGAUCUUCUAGUGGAAUGCUUGAUAUGAAUGGCUCGAAUGGAUACCCUGGCUCAACUUCCCCUCUUCCACAUGGAGGUGCACCUUCCCCUGGACUCCUCAGUCGGCCACACUCCUCCAAGACCCAUUCACCAACCAGACCAAAUUUGCGAGUCCUCAUCCCAAACUCUCAAGCACAGACGACGCCUCGACCUGGAUCACCAUCUUUGAAUACUCCUGUUGUUUCACUCCAGACAGCUGCUGGCGGUAAUUCAUCAAUGACGUACUCCUCAAUGAACUCAUUUUCUCAUCAGGAGUUUCCGUUGAAUAAUGACAUCUCUCUCAACCCCAUAAAUUCUCUGCACUGGAAUCCAGGGUCAAUAGGCAUGUCGCAUUCUGGGUUACCACACCUUAGUGUCAGUUCCUCAACGCCACCUCCGAGAUCCUCUCCGCCUGUUACGAUAAAAUCAGAGCCUAUCAGUCCUCCUCGGGAUCCUAACUGUAUCCCUUCAUCACAUCUGCAAAGACCAGGAUCCACAGACCCUGGACACUUAUCACCUGCUCCACCAUCUCAUUUGGGUCCCUCUUCCAACCACCCAGGACACUCCGUGUAUAGUAAUUCACUCUCAGAAUCUGGCAGAGCUGUACUUAUGAAUCAACUUUCAUCUGGUCAACAAUACAUUGCUUUAUGUAACACAUCCUGGCAUCCACUUUCAUAAGUUAUGGGCAGUAAUAUUUAACCUUUGUUCUACUAGAAUUGCAUGGAGAUACACAAGGCCACUUGACUCCCACAUCACACGCAUCACCUGAAGGAGCUCACCACAGUGAUUAUGAUACACCCUUGAGCAAACGACCGAGAAUAACAGAGGGAUGGGCCACAUAGUGAGGUGCAAUAAGGGCCACCACGUGCACCAGUGAAAGGACACUUAGUGCUGCGUGAUCAGUGCCUGGCAAGCAGGGGACGCCGUCCCCAGGGCCAUUGUAGCCCUCACAAUCGUGUCCCUACUGCCUCUGCCUCUACGGACCACAACGGUUGUUAACUGUACAAAAAAACAAAAAACAAAAAAAAAAACAAACAAAAAAAAAAAAAGACUUGGGGAGCAGUGUGUUUGUGUCCUUUGCCAUGUGUGAGAGAGCCAGUGCUGCACUAUUGUAACAGUGCCAUUUGAGGAGCUGCAGCCCUGCUCCCCGGCCUCCUGUGUUUGUGAAUCACAUUCCCUUACUCCCUUCAGCCAGUCCUGCCCCAGCAAGCCUAUCUGUAACAGUCCCUAACCACUCAGGACGGGCAAAGGUGAAGUCAACUGUAAACCUAUUUCAACCUUGGUAAUAAAUGGUUGAAGACUGAGGAACACUUUGCGGAGAUAGGAGAAUUUCUCCACAACAUUUGAAAUGAGGAUGAAGAAAAUGUCUUUCCUAGUUCAGACCACUUGUUAUGUGGCUUGGGUACGACAAAGUUUCAUUGUCUUCAGCCAACAGAUAUUUGGAGUAAAAUUACAAAAUUGUUCUGCUCACUUCCUAAACGAGAUGGCUUAGGGAUCAUUUGUUUCCUGAAGGGUCAUUUAUUACCCACUGCCAAUACUGCAGAUCACAUCAGUCUGUCACCACCACCUUUUUGUACUUGUUAGUUCUGGCUCAAUGUAAAUAAGCAAAAGACAUGAUUAUUUUUACUCUUUGUACAUAUUGGCCUAUAUGAUAAGAUUGCCUGGUACCUGGUGUGUGGUGGUGUUGCUGCCGGAGGCGAGAGGUUUAACAGUAACAUGGUUUUGCCUCCUCACCAUCCCAUACUGCCGCCCUCUGUACCUCUCGUAUGGUCUUUCUUUGUACCUUGUGCCUCACCUUACUGUGUAAGAAGUUGUAGACUCUAGUAACUGUGGACAGUAGUGCGUGGCCUGUGUGAGCUGCGCCAUGGUGUAGUGGUGGCAGAAUGGGAAUGGCAGACUGGUAGUGACAUUUGUUGGCAUCACUAGGCUCUGUAUGUGUGCCUUGCUGGCCAUCAUUCCUUCAGUGCCAGGUGGCCCAAUUUGACUGCCACUGAAAAACUAUCCAUGGCAGCUACCACCAGCCAUGGGGCUCACAGGAAGGAGGAGGAGUCAGCUGUACCAUACCAAAUACAACACUCUCUGUCGAUACAUUAGUAAAAGUAAAAAAGUAAAAAAAAAAAAUAAAAAUAAAAAAAAUUUAGACUGUGUUGACUUACCAUUGUUUGUAUAAAUACAAAGUCUAGAUUCUUAAUAAUUUAUAUGAUACUGGUACUGUAUAAUUCUUCAAGAAAUGUUUAUAGUUAUAUUUGAUUAUAAUAAAUCAAAAACACCUAGUUUCUAAGCAAAGACACUAAAACCAUUACCCUAAGAAUAUGUUGCACCUUGUCGUGGCGUGAUCACCGUUUACCACAGGCCGGCGUGCUGGGGCACAGCGGGACUGGGGGGGUUUUGGGACCCAGAACAUCCACUUCCUGAAAACCUCUUGAGUUGAAUAAAAACAAAUAAAAAAUAGGCACAUAAAUUCUUUUUGAAGAAAAGAGGUAUAUCAUUUGGUGGAUUUUGUAUAUGCUUCAAAUGAUCUGAAUUUAUUAACAAGCACUUGUGUUACAGAGAAAAGAGAAAGUUAUUUUUAAUUAAAAAUUGUAAAGUGUACAAAUGUUAUAAAUAUUACCAAUAUCUGUGAUGUAUACUGUAUAGUGCAAUUCAAUGGGUAAUGGUGUAACCAAGGAGUGUAAAGAUGAAUAUUUUAUUAAAAUAUUGAGUGCACACAAGUGAUAGGAUAUUGUAAGUUAAUGUUACUGGUUUGAUGGUAAUCACUGAUAAGUUGGCUACUGGUUUUGAGUUUUAUCCCUCCUUAUUGGGUUGACUCAGGUAUCAAGGUUUACUUAAGGGUUUUCACGUUUAGUGCUAGUGUACAAUGAGUACCACUUUGGUGUAUGCUGAAUUUUUGACAGGGAACAUAUUUUGGCCAUGUAUCAUGGUUUAUUUUCUUUGAAGAGAAAAUUGUAGGAUGUGUAAUCUUCCCAGUCUGAAGGGAUAAAACAUAUCUUCGUUCUUGAACAGCAGUGAGGUCAUAAGUUUUUUCUUUUUUUUAUGCCAUGUCCAGCAGUCCCCCAGAUCCCCCCACCCACCAGCAGCCCCCCGUCCUUAUGUUCUGAGAACAAGUUACAUGUUUGUGUAGAAUAAGUAUACUAUUAAUAUUUUUUUGUUAGUGAAAUAGAAAGCAUAUUGUGUGAAAUUUGACAUGUUAUUCAAUAAAUACUGAAUAACAUAGA